AUGCCAAUACUACCCAAGAAACACAACUACUGUGUAAGCAAUGCCUACUCAUACACCCUUUUCAGAGUCUUACAUAAAAAUAGUCAUGUCUCUCAAGAGCACAGCUCUUCUAAUGUGAGAGAAAACACUUCAGAAUGGUAGAAACAUCAGCACUAAUAAACCAGAUUUGUAAAGGGAUACCUGAGAACUACAAGGGCUUCUUGGAUGUCACGGAGCUUCAGUAAAAAGAACAUCUGUUAUACCUGUACCUUGUACUGCAUCUGUCCCUACCAAUGUUACUUGCCAGUUUCUUAUUUUGGCUUCUAAUGGGCUUUGAAGGGUUUUGGAUUACCUGAAGUACUUGCACCAACUCUUAACAUUCACUCAUUAUUUGAGAAUGCAUGAAUGCUGUUCAACAAAACAGGACUUUGUGUGUCAGUAUCUAGUAUCCCUCACUGGAGACAACUUAACUGACUCUAACACUAUUAAUCAUCUGCAAGAUAGAAUACAGCUAUUUUAUUCCAAUAAAGGUAUUUUUCAGAGUGACUCAAAAGGCAAUCUGAAACAAAAUCAGUGAAAAUGUUCUAGGAAGAAUUAUGGACAUAGUAAAAAUGGAACUCCUAAUAAGGAAACCAAUGACCACAAAAAUCAACCUAACCCAGAACUGUCUCUUAUCAGUAAUAAUGGAGUAAAUUCAAAGAACAGAGAUAUGCUACUCCAAUUCUAGCACACAAGGUGACUCUGAAGAACUCAGUUUGAAGACAGAAAAUUUUAUCUAAGUGAGACUUCAGAGCAAGAAGAAACCACUUUCUGUGCAACAGGUCCAAGUCAGAGCUAUAAACAGCUGCAAGAGAAUGUGCUGGCAUCAAGGUCUAAGGUCAUGAAAAUUACCCCAAAAUAGACAAAACCAUGCCAUCUAAUUCUCACUCAAAUACACAGCUGGCAGAAAAAAUGGACUCCAAUUCAUUUUGUGACAAAGUGCAGGUGAUGCUGGUCAAGAACUGCUAAAGACUGUAUCACCACUGGGUUCCAAACCACCACCACAGUUUGAAAAAGAUACAAAAAUGUACCCGAUCAAUUGGAAAUCACAAGCUGCAGAAGAGACACAGUCAGCUCAGAGACAUUGCAAUGCAACAAGUCACCUUGUGAACAACUGGCAAAGACUGCAUUAGCUGCAGGUUCAAGAGACAAUAUUACUAUUUUGAUCAUACUUAUAAAUGGAUGUGAUAAGAUACCCAAUUACCUCAACAUUUAAAGAUUUAUCAUAGGAUAACUGGAGUGCCACAAUAUAUAAAGGACAAGCUUAUAUUUAGCUAUGCCAUGAAUUUAUUGUAAGCAUCUUAAAUGCUGACCCAUACAGUGAAACAGACAAUCUUGUCUGGAGCUGUACAAAUGCAGUAAAACCUCCUGAAACUCUCAAUAAGAACCAGUAAUCAAAAUUUUUUUAAACCACUUUAUUCAAACCUGAGCACCUCAAUAUAAAACUAAACACUGGUGAACUGUCAUUUUUCUUGCUAAACCCAGAUUACUGCAAAUUUAAAAUCUGCACAAGUAAGUUUCUAUCAGUUCAACAUUUAAAUAGACUAAUUCAUCUCUUCUGACACACUUUGUAGAUUUCAUAUAAUGAAAAUAACUAAAAGAAUUAGUGCAAUAUACUGGACUGAUCAAAAUAAAAUGUACUUUGGAAAACAAAGUUGCGAAGUUCAUUACUGACAGACAGCAGUACUUAUGUUACAGAUACAGGAGCAUCAUUUAUUACUGUUCUAGCCAUAAAGGAAGAACUCAGAACCCCCUUUGAUUAGAGAGGAAAAAAAGUUAGCUUUAAGUAACUGUACAUUCUGUAUACCUUUAAGCAACUCUUAAAUAUUACAGAAAGUAUUAAACAAAUGUAGACUACAAUGCAGAGUACCUAUUUACAGUACAUUAAUAUCCAAAU